GCCUACACACUGACCCCUACCGGUCUUUGGGUGUACUACAGGCUUCUUAGACAUUAUUGCAUUUCAUGUACAAACCAACGAACCACUGCAUUUUCGCCUACACACUGACCCCUACCGGUCAUUCGGUGUACUACCGGCUUCUCAGACAUUAUUGCAUUUCAUGAAAAAAACAACCAAACACCGCAUUUUCACCUACACACUGACCCCUAUCGGUCAUUCGGUGUACUACAGGCAUCUUAGACGUUUUUUGCAUUUUCAUGUACAAACCAAUAAACCACCUCAUUUUCACCUACACACUGACCCCUACCGGUUUUUGGUGUACUACAGGCUUCUUAGACAUUAUCGCAUUUCAUGUACAAAUAAACGAAUCACUGCAUUUGCACCUACACACUGACCCCUACUGGUCAUUUGGUGUACUACAGGCUUCUCAGACAUUAUUGCAUUUCAUGUA